UUCGCACAGAAUAAAGUGAGUAUAAAUAGAUUAUAAGUGUUUCUUUUGUUGUAAUUCGUCUUUUCCUGAACUAUUUUUUCUGAUCAUCUGGAGUAUAAGGUGAAUUUUUAGAACUCUUUUUCUGGCAGUUACUAACAUGUAUUAUACUUGUAUCACCUGUUACUAAUUUAUAAUUAUCAUCUUGCUUGGACCCUUUAUUGUAUUUCUUUCCUAGAAAGAAGAAUUCAUGUAGGAGUUUUUACAAUGAGAAACUGCAAGCACUACUACUAGUCCAUGAAAAGUUAUGCAUUUUUUAAUGUCUACUACCUGGCCAGUUUGAAACAACCAAGGCAGGAAGCUAGAGGUACUUUUUGAGAAUUAUUGCUACGUGCAAACUAUGUUAAUUAACAUAAUUUGUCAUCAAAUUCUCUAGCCUGCUUUUUUUUUUUAGUCUCAGUGGAUGAGUGAUGGUAAAAGCAAAAAAAAUAUAUAUAUAAUAAUUAUAAGCAAAAAAUUCUAUGCCCAAAUUUCACUUAUGUUUUUCUUUAUAGAAUUAAUCAGACUGAAAGAAUCAUCCGAGAUUUUCUCAGACAUUUCAAGAGCCUUUUGUUCUUGUAAAUAUUAGUUUCAGCUUUGUUUCUUUCAUCUAAAUCUUACACAGUUCUCAUUCACCAUCUCCUCCAGGCUCCAGAUGCAUCAGUAUUUGCCAUUAAACCUCGAAAUUGGUUAUGUUGAGCAACCAUUUCAAUGCAGUUAUCAUGUGAACAACUCAACCACUUCAAAAGGUCCUUUUUUCUUUUUGGUUUUUUAACUCUUCAUUCUUAGAUCUGAGUUUUGUCAUUUCUCGUGCAGAUGAAUCUUGAAGAAAGCUUACUUCUUUUACAUCUAUGGAUACAUUUUAUAUUUGAUCAAUGCAGAUGAUAACCAACAGUAAUGGAUGGGAGAAGCUUGUCGACACUAAUUCUGACAUAGAUCAGGAGGGUAAACAGGCGUGUAGGAUGUCUCCUUCAAUGGGGACAGUUCAUGGCAACUUCUUUUCAACUUCCCUUAUCUGCACCGAAGAAAUUAUUGUGACACACAUUUCUACCACACAAAUAAAUUUCGUAAUGCCUUUUUGAUUUUGUUAUCUUGAUAUUCUUCACUUGGGAUCUUAUAUUUUCUUUUAUGCAAAUGUCAUACGUUAAGGAGGUAUGUAAAGUCUGUAAUUUUUUUUUAAAUGGAAGUGGUAUGACUUAGGCCUAGAGAUUGAACUGGAAUUUGGUUGUGUCGUUAUUCGUUCUCACUUUAUCUUAAUAUAAGUAUGG
rnacentral:lncRNA from 1 species